rnacentral:lncRNA from 1 species
CAAAAUAGCAGACUGGUUACAGAAGCAGUGGUGUAGUGAUUAUUGUCACCAGUAGGAGACGCUGCGAGAUACAUGAGUGCCCCGUCGCUACUUCAGCAAUGAAGAACUGAACAUGUGCAAGAAAAAAACCAUGAAGUUGUUUUCGUCAGUCUUCAGAAGAGAUUUAAAGAAAUCUGGUCUUCUGGUCAACGUAAAAGCCAUUUUCAGUGUCCUGCUGAGGAGAGAAAGCGUUGAUGGCCUAAGGGUCAGCACUUACAGAUGGUUUUGCCUCCAGACAGUUUGAAGCUCAGACAAUGAUGAUGAUGGUGGUGAUGAAACCAUGGUUAAAAAGAUGUGGUCUGAAUUUGACAGUUAGCCACAUGCGGCAGCCUCUUCUCUCUCUCAGCCUCCGUUUCUCCUCGUCUCCCAAGAGCUCCGUCAGUAUGAAGAGGCCCGAGGACGCCAUCUCAUCUUCUCUCAGCCAGUGUCAAGCAGCAAUCCUGCGGGGCCCGUCCCUGCUUAAUUCAGCUUAGAGCCCCGACAUUCCUGAUCGCCUCGUUUUUUCUUUUUUCUUUUUUCUUUUUUUCGGGUAUGCCUCUCAGGGCUGAGGUAAUUAUUUCCAGAAUAAUAAUAACAGACAGAUUAGUGUGUUUAGCAGGCAGAUGUAUUGCUCUGUUCUCUUUCCUUAUAUUUGGCUCUGAACUGAGUGACCUAUUAGACUGGAUUAAUUCUGCGGUAAAAAAUGAAAGUGGUUAAUGACCCCAGUCUCCUGUCUAAGAGGUGGAGAAAUCGCCUGAGGAGGAUUCCUUCAGACAUGCCCUGAUCUAUCAAACUCCACGCUGGACACCAGGAGCAGCAGGUGUUAAAGUCUUCAUCCGUUUCUGCCUUGGUUAUAGAUGACCUGACUGUAUGAAAUUACUCAAAUGGUGGAAAGCCAUUAAAUUCCCCGAGAAUACAGUAAAUGGAGAGGGUGGGAUGAAAAAUAG